rnacentral:tRNA from 1 species
GGUUUUAGCUCAGUUGGUAGAGUGUUUGUCUCCCACGUACAAGACCCUGGGUUCAAUCCCCAGACCUACCA